GAUGAAGAACGUAGCGAAAUGCGAUAAGUAAUGUGAAUUGCAGAAUUCAGUGAAUCAUCGAAUCUUUGAACGCACCUUGCGCUCCUUGGUAUUCCGAGGAGCAUGCCUGUUUGAGUGUCAUUAAAUUCUCAAUCAUUAUCAACUUUUGCUGAUAAUGGCUUGGAUGUGGGGGUCUAUUUUGCUGGCUUCUCAGAUAGUCAGCUCCCCUUAAAUGCAUUAGCCGGUGCCCCGCGUGGACUGUCUAUUGGUGUGAUAAUUAUCUACGCUAUAGACAUCUGCAAUCAUAUGGGUUUGCGCCGCUUCUAACAGUCUGUUGAUUCAGACAAUACAUGACAAUUUGACCUCAAAUCAGGUAGGACUACCCGCUGAACUUAAGCAUAUCAAUAAGCGGAGGA
rnacentral:misc_RNA from 1 species